CUCCGGGGCCGCCCCUGUGCGACGCUCGCCUCUCGCAGCCAGUCCCCGCAGCGAAAGUUCCCGGGAUAGGUCGGAGUCGGUUUCACCUGCGCCCUGGCGACGCCUCCUCCCCGACUCUGGGGGAAGGGCCCGGCCCGCCUCCUCCUGUCCCUCCGCCCUCCGAGGUCUCCCCCACCCCUGCCACCCAUCCCAGAUGAGUCAGACUGGUCCGCACCCGGGAGAAUGCCGUAGGUGAGGUCGUCAGCGAGCCGGAGCCGGCAACGAACCUCUCUGCAGGACGCGCAGCUGCUCCCGGCCGGGGGAAUGGAAAGCAGGAAUAUUAAUGUGUCACCUACGUGGCUGUAGCACUGCUGGAAACAAGUAUAAAGAACGCAUGCUCAAGAACUCACUCUUUAUUGGGAGCAACAAACAAGAGAAAUGGCUUAAACCUGUGUGUGAAGUGAUUUAACAAAGGUCAGAUCCUGGAGAAAUUGAGAGGCAGUACAUAAAGAACCCAGGCUCAGCUUGGAGGAUCAGGACAAUUUUCCAAUAAAAGGCAACUUGGAGUAGAAUUGGUGAGGAAGAGGCAGAGGAAACGUUGGUGCAAAAGCCCAAGAUCUGGCUCAGCAGAGCAUAUUUGGGGAACUAACUGCAAAUAGGUCUACUUGGCUUUAAGGAAGAGGAUCUAUGUGGAUGUGCUAGAAACAAGACUCGCAAAAUUAGGAGGGAGUCAGAAGAUGAAGGGGUUGGGGUGGGGAGGGGAGCCUUUGAAGAAUUUUUAGGAGGGUUAGUGACCUGACCAGAUUUGUACUUUAGAAACAUUAUCCUGGAGGGUGUAUUCUGAUGCGCUUAUUCUUUCCCUUCGGUUCAAACCUCUAUUGUGGAUGUAGAGUGGAAUCUCCGCCCAGGAAGGUGGAACUGCCCAUGACCACCUCCAGAAUCCUAAGGAUUGUUCAAGCCUUCCUCAAUAUCCAGAGGCACAAAUGAUCACUUUCCUCCCUCUUCUUAUAGAACACCUCCGUUUUGUCCAUCUCACUUGCAUUAUACUUGUCUUGUUAGUGUCUCCCUAGUGGAUUGUGAGUUUCCAGAGGGUAAGGCUCAUUGUUAGUCAUCAUUUUGUCCCCAGUGCCUGCAUUUGCAAGUAGUGGGUAUUGCAAGUGUUAAUUGAAUUUAAUCAUCUCAGAACAUUCAGUGUCCUAAAUUUCAAACCAAUUUGAGAGACACACAAAUGUGUGAGAAAAUAUGAGAUAUAAAGAAACAAGAAACAGAGGGCUACGAAUUUCGAGCAAGAGCCUUAAUUUCACACACAGCAUUUUAUAAGAAUGAUUCUCAAGGUAUGGAAUGUAGGUCCUCUUGACAGAUUGUAAAUUUAACAAAUGCACAGUCUUCAUUCAUUACAUAUGAAGGAUAUGUAAUUUCACAGAUUUUCAUUUUUGUCUUGCAGCUAAGGGCCACUUAGUAGUCUACUAAAUGAAUUAUUAAAAUUUGAUAUUUAUAAGCUACAAUUGGCACAUGUCUAAAGAGUACUAAGGAUUCUAAUUUAGCACCCUACUCAAAAGUCUGGCAGCCACAAAAAUGCUUGGCAAAGGCACAUAUGCAAAUAGCUGGAUUUCCCCCAAAAGGCUGAUUACUUACUGUGCAUCAUCACUUUUAUAUUGAGGGAGAUGAGGUUCUGUUUAUAGUUCAUCCUGCCUAUUAAUUAUACAUUACUGUUGGUUUUGUCAUGAUCAGUUUAUUCUGGGCUUUGUUAAUUUGUUGGUGUCUCAGUGAUAUAGUUUCAGACAUGGGCUCUGGAAGUAGCAUCUUCUAUGAAAAAUCUGUGAUGAAUUUGGGCAAGCUAUUUAAUUUUCCUGAGCCUCAGUUUUUCCAUCUCAAAAUGUGGGAUGUAGAUAGAAGUACUUAUCAAGUUGAUUUGAUAUAUGGUGUAAUUGAGUUAAUACAUGGAAAGUAUUUUCACAGGAUGGUAUUUGGCACAUAGAGAAGGUGCCUGGCAUGUAGAACAUGGUUAUAUCUGGUUCAGCUAAGAGUGACAGAAAACUAAAACAACAAGGAUUUAUUGAGAUAGAAGUUGAUUUCUUCACAUGUAACCAUGGGCUGUGCAGAGUGGGUAUGGCAGUCUGUGAUCAUCCUAUUCCUCCCAUCUUGUUCUACCAUAUCUCAAAAUGGGAUUUCCAUUUCAUGGUCUGGAUGGCUGUUCCAGCACCAGCCAUCAUCUCUGCAUCCCAGCUAGCAGGAAUUAAGAGUGGAAAAGUGAGGGCACAACCCCUCUCUCUAGGGACACUUCUCAGAAGUCACACACAGCACUGACCAGAACUUGACGGCACGGCCACUUCUAGCUACAAAGAAAGGCUGGCAAAUAAAAAUCUUUAUUUUGAAUAGAUAUGUUCCAAAUUAGUAAAAGGAAGAGUUUAUUAUCACAGAAUUGGGUUUAUAAACUGGAACAUUAUUGGCCUUUGGGCAGAACAAAUCUUUAUUGAAUAAGACCAUUCUGUACAUUUCAGGACAUUUAUACCUCCAGGUCCCAGAUGCUACAGAGGCAUCCUCCCAGUCAUUGUGUCAACCCACUGCUCCUAUGUAUUUACAGUUACUUAGGGGUAGCACUGUCCUUACAUUUCUGGUUCCGUGGCAGACGUUUUGUCUGCCCAGUAUAGCAGGAUAUCCCUUUCCAGGGAAACAGUCUUUCCCGUAGCCGUGUGUUGAAUAACCAUCUUUUUACAUGACUAUUUUCUAACAACAGAGAUGAGAAAACAGGUCAGCAUCUGACCCAGGCCAGGCCAAAUAAAAUCUUUCCCCAGGUUUUAAAAAAUUAGACCUACAACAAGAGUUUUACUUUUCUCGUGGGUGGAGAUAGAAGAUCCUGUGCUCUUCAGACACGACUGGUGAGAAUGUCAAAUGGUGCCACCCUUGCUUUGGAGAACGGUCUGUCGACUCUUUGAAAGGUUGAAUAUAGAGAUAUAACACAGCAGUUCUACUCCCAGGUAUAUAUGCAAAAGAAAUGAAAACACAAUUCACAUAAAAGCUUAUAUGCAAAUGUUAGUAGGAACAUUAUUCAUAAUAGUCAAAAAGUAGAAACUUCCCAAGUGUCUAUCAACUAAUAAUGGAGAAACAAAAUGUGUUCUAUCCUUACAAUAGAAUAUUACUUGGCAAUAAAAAAUGAAUGGAUUACUGAUACAUGCUGCAACAUGGAUGAACUAUGAGAAUAUUGUGCAAGGGAAAAGAUGCCAAUCACAAAUAACCACAUGUUGUAUGAUUCCAUUUAUAUGAAAUGGGCAGUAUGGGCAAGCCCAAAGAGACAGAAAGUAUUGGUGAUAGAUGAGAAUGGGGAAUGACUGCUCAUGCUCAUGUUUUGGGGAGAUUGAGUCCCAUCACAUGGCCAAUGAUUUAAUCAAUCAUGCCUGUAUAAUGAAACCUUGAUAAAAACUCUAAGGAGGUUCAUUGACUUUCCUGGUUGGUGAAUAUAUUGAUGUACCUGGAAGGGCACAAAUUUUCAGGCCUUCCCACCCCAGACCUUGACUUAUAUAUCUCUUCCAUAUGGCCGUUCCUGAGUUGUAACCUUUAUAAUAAAACAGUAAUUCUAGCUAUAGUGCUUUCCUGAGUUCUCUGAGUCAUUUUAUUGAAUUAUCAAACCUGAAGAGGGGUCAUAGAUAGGAACCCCUAAAUUUGUAGUCAUAUUGGUCCUCAGAAGUGCAGAUGGCCCUUGGACUUGUAACUGGCAUCUGAAGUGAGGGCAGUCUUUUGGGACUGACCCUUAAUCGAUGGGGUCUGUGUAGUGUCAGAUUUGAAUGGACACCCAUCUGGUGUUGGAGAUUUGUUGGCGAGCACUGGGGAAGGUAACAUUUGCUACAAGCACCAUUAUCUAAGAAGUCUGAGAACACUACAGAAGGGUACUUAGUACAAAUCUUGAAUACAGAUAGAAA